UCUUGCAGCCCCUCACUUCAGCCUGUGAUCUCAUCAGAUUUCACAAGCUAAGCAGGGUUAGGUCUCGGUAGCGCUUGGAAGGGAUACCUCAAAAAGACCAAAACCCUCCCCGCAAAAA
rnacentral:rRNA from 1 species